UUUUUUUUUUAGUCUUUAGAAAAGGGGUGAUAUUUAGAAAUUUUGCUUUGGGGCCAAUCAGAUUUCCUAAGUUUCUAGAUGUCUAGGUUGCUUGCAUUCAGGGCUACAGGCUUUUGGUGUUCGAAGUCUCGAAGGGGAGGUGGUCAGGAAGCUUCACUGCUGCUGCUGGUCGGCUUUGUUAUUUUACCAGGCUGAAGCUUGUGCGUUCCCUGGGGACGGCCUUUUGCACACCAUGAAGCGGGUGUGCCGCAGGGAGCUGCCUCCAGUGUCCCCAGAGGAACGUGGUGGCUGGGCCCCCCCUCUUGGCCGAGGAGGAGGCAGAGAAGGGACCACUGCAACCGUGUACCUCCUCCUCUUAUUCCUUGCGUCAAGCCUGUUACUACUGCCUUAGAAUUCCGAGGAAGAAUUAGAUUUAUUUAUUACUUUUAUUUAUUGUUAAAGCCACAUUUCACUUCGCCUUUGAAACAGUUCCCGUCUGUUUCUCAGGAGGCUUCCACCUGCUUUGAGCCACCGAGGCCCCCUCUCCUGUGGAGUCUAACUAAAUGGAGAUUUCAGGUGAAGUCGGGGAGGGCUGAUGUUCCACUCCUGUGGGGUCAGUCCCAGUGAGGCUCUGGGAGGGGUCUGCCCCUCCUGAGAUGGAUGAAUGAUGCCCCCGUGACCCCAGCCUGCUACCCCCAGCACUCCCUGUGAGGAUCUCUAGGUUGUGAGGAAAUCUGCCCAUUUGUCCAGGUUUGAGUGAGUGGUAGAGGACUUGACCAGCCAACCAGAGGCAUCCCGUGAUGCCAGGACUGCCAAGCCCUCCGCCUGGUCUGAGGAGUCAGCUGCGUCACGAUGCUUCCUUUGGCUCCUUCCUUCCCUGUGUGGGAGCCUCACCCCAUGCCUCCCCUCUGCACAGAAGCAGAAACUCAGUGACCAGGGCUCCUCACGACAGGUCCGUGGCGGCACCUCCGUCACGAACAAAGGGCGCUAGAGCCGCACCUGUUCCUCCGGGAGCACCGCCCCAGGUGGGAGAGGAUGCCAGGGCCCGCUGUAGCAUCCCUCCUCCUCCAAGCGGCCUCAUACCUCCACUACUUUACAUCUGA
rnacentral:lncRNA from 1 species